ensembl:lncRNA
GAAGAACCCAGAACCUUCCCCUCCAACUCCCCCAAUCAAGUUUCCUUUUUAAGUCCUAUUUUAACCUCCUCUCCCUUCCAAACUCCCUUACCCCGGAGGGAGAGAGAGAAAGUCCCGGAGAACUAACCCCCUUUUAACUGUUCAAUGCUUCUUCUUUUAGCACUGUUUUUACUCACCCCUUUUAUGGCUUUUAAAAUCACCACUAUAAAUGUGAGGAGUGUAAGAACAGCAACAAGAGCACAGUCGGUUUUAUCCUUUUUAGAAAGGUUUAACUCUGAUGUGUUUUUACUACAGGAGUGUGGUCUACCCUUUUUAUCCUCUUACAGGAAAUGGGGGGAUAAGUGGCAGCACGGGCCCUCCAUUUGGAGUGGCUCCAAUUUUAACAAGAACGACGGUGUUGCCAUUUUAAUCAAGACCCCACAGGUGGUGGUGAAGGGGAGCACGGUGGUGGUAGAUCACGUAAUGCUGACGUGCACCCUUUCACUAUCUUCGGGGGUGACUGUGGGAAGAGGGCCCUGGAAAUUGAACUGCUCCCUUUUAGAAGAUGAUAGAGUAGUUAGUCAGUACAGAGAGCAGUUCAGCCAGUGGCAGACGCUACAGGACUUCUUUGACACGCGAGCACAGUGGUGGGAAAUGGUGAAGGGAAGGACGAGGACCUUCUUUAGAGAGAUAGGAAAGGAAAAAAGUAAAGAAAAAGAGAGACGCAUGGUGGGACUGCAAAAGCGACUGGAAAGGUAUUUUAACCUAUGCCAACAGGGCCUUGAUUUUAACCAAGAAAUUAAAGAAGUAAAAAAGGAAAUGGCACUUUUAGCAGAACAGAGAAGCAAGGGGGUUAUUUUAAGAAGCAAGGAAAGGGAAUUAGAAGAGGGGGAGAAGUGCACCAGGUACUUUUUUAAGAAAAUAGUUAGUAAGGGUAGGAUUAUGACAGGAUUGAGAAACAAGGACGGGGUUUUAAAAACAGACACAGAGGGAAUAAAGGAAGUGGUCGAGGACUUUUAUGGGGAACUGUUUGGGGUAAAAGAUGUGUGCGAGGG